AUGGCCGGCGCCAUGGUGGACCGGGCCACCAGCGACAUGCUCAUCGGCCCCGACUGGGCCAAGAACAUGGAGAUCUGCGACAUCUGCAACCGCGACCCCGGGCAAUCCAAAGAUGUCGUGAAGGCUCUCAGAAAAAGAAUUGCACACAAAAAUCCAAAAGUUCAGCUUCUCGCACUAACUCUGCUGGAAACUGCAAUCAAGAACUGUGGGGAUAUAUUCCACAUGCAUGUUGCAGAGAGGGACCUGUUGCAUGAGAUGGUCAAGCUAGUGAAGAAAAAGUCUGAUCAACGCGUCAAAGACAAGAUUCUGGUUCUAAUAGAUACAUGGCAAGAAGCUUUGGGGGGACCACGUUCAAGAUAUCCACAAUUCUAUGCAGCAUACCAUGAAUUAGUGCGUGCUGGAGCUCAAUUCCCCAAGAGGUCUGAGAGACCUGCACCACUGUUUAAUGGGCAGUCUGAAGCAGUGAAAAGUAUGCGUAGUCCUGAUCAACGGGACGAAGCUGAAUCUUCUGCUGGAAAUGACUUCCCUGCUCUGAGCAUGUCAGAGAUUCAAAAUGCUCGUGGUAUCAUGGAUGUACUAGCUGAGAUGUUGAAUGCUUUAGACCCUGGAAACAGAGAGGGACUAAGACAGGAAGUAAUUGUGGAGCUUGUUGAUCAGUGCCGCACUUACAAGCAGAGAGUGGUCCAGCUAGUUAAUACUGCUUCGGAUGAGGAACUUUUGUCGCAAGGGCUUGCACUAAAUGAUGAUUUGCAGCGUGUUCUAGCAAAACAUGACGCAAUUGCUGCAGGCAUUGCUGUUCGAGUGGAGAAAAGGCCAAAGUCUCUGCAGGCGCUAGUUGAUACUGAGGAUUCUGCGAACCAAGACUCUAAGAAAGAGCAAGCACUAGUAGAUAUUGAUGACCCUACAAGCCAAGAUUCUAAAACAGAGCAAAAUCAAAGCACCAGUGAGCCGUCUCCUUUUGAGCAACUAGCGCUUCCAGCACCUCCGGUAUCGAAUGGCUCAGCAAACGCUGCACCAAAACCUGAUUCUGGCAUUGAUCUUCUUAGCUGGGAUGAUACCCCAUCCACUGCAGAGAAUUCACUGGCUCUUGUACCGGUCACUGAUCCAUUGGCUGACUCUACUUCAAAUCAAAAUGCACUGGCAAUUGUCGACAUGUAUUCUCAAAACAAUACUGCUAAUAGCAAUGCCAAAUCACUUGACCCCUUUGGUUUCGAUUCAAGUCCCACUCCUCUUGGAUCACAGCCAUACAACAAUGCAACCCAGCAUCCUGUACAAUCACAACAGCCUCCUCAGCAGGUGGCGCUCUAUUCUAAUGGAAGUGCUGUAAACCCUGGAACAUCUUACGACCCGGCGUCGCAGUAUAAUCACACGAAUUCCGGGUGGAAUGGUCAAGUUGCCAACCAUGCAGCACCCCCACCACAGCAAGUAAAUUAUGAUGAUCAAAGUGGAGCCCUUCCGCCUCCACCUUGGGAGGCUCCGGCAGCGCCAAGCAAUGAAAUGCCAAAUGGCCAAUUGGGUGGUAUGCAACCUCUCCCACCUCCAGCAAGCCAAUUCGGUGGUGUGCAGCCACUACAACCGCAGAACAACCACAUGGCAGGUCUACAACCGCAGCCAAUGUAUAACAACCAACCAGGAGCUAUGGUACCUCACGCAAUGCAGUCCAACCAAACUGUUGGAGGGCAGAUGCAGCCAGGUUAUGGAAACCAGUAUGGACAUUUGGCACCACAACCCAUGCCAAUGCCAGGCAUGCAGUUCGCUGGUAUGCAACCGUCGCCGAUGCCAGGAGCGCAGCCAGGCAUGAUGUAUGCGCAACCAAUGCCGGGGGCGCAGUUUGGAGGAAUGCCACAACAGCAGAUGUACGGCGGUGGUGGUCGGAUGGCGACGCAGUACGGUUAUGUGCAGCAGCAAGCAGCACAGUACUACAACCAGGGAAGGCCAGCAAUGUAUGGGUACCCUGGUACCAACGGCCUCUCUCAGAGUAUGUAUGGUCUCUCCAUGCAAGACAGCUCCUACAUGGGGGGGAUGAACUCGACCUAUCAGGCAGCACCCUCUUCAUCCUCAAUGGCGCAACCCAUGAGGCCGUCGAAACCCGAGGACAAGCUCUUCGGCGACCUUCUCAGCAUCGCCAAGACGAAGCAGAACAGAGCUUCGUGA
rnacentral:rRNA from 1 species